rnacentral:ribozyme from 14 species
ACAUGCACAGAGUAAAACAAAGAGAAACACACAAUAUAAAAAGUGCAAAGUUACAUACAGAAAAAAAACUCUCAUUCUCUCGAAUUUCUGUUUUUGGCUUUUUCUCUCAUUUUUUGGUUUGUUUGGGGAUCACAUUUUUUUUGGGUUUUCCUUUUCCAG